UACGAAGGGGGCUAGCGUUGUUCGGAUUUACUGGGCGUAAAGCGCACGUAGGCGGAUUGCUAAGUCAGGGGUGAAAUCCCGGAGCUCAACUCCAGAACUGCCUUUGAUACUGGCGAUCUUGAGUCCGGGAGAGGUGAGUGGAACUGCGAGUGUAGAGGUGAAAUUCGUAGAUAUUCGCAAGAACACCAGUGGCGAAGGCGGCUCACUGGCCCGAUACUGACGCUGAGACGCGAAAGCGUGGGGAGCAAACAGG
rnacentral:rRNA from 1 species